UACGGGGGGGGCAAGCGUUGUUCGGAAUUACUGGGCGUAAAGGGCUCGUAGGUGGCCAACUAAGUCAGACGUGAAAUCCCUCGGCUUAACCGGGGAACUGCGUCUGAUACUGGAUGGCUUGAGCUCGGGAGAGGGAUGCGGAAUUCCAGGUGUAGCGGUGAAAUGCGUAGAUAUCUGGAGGAACACCGGUGGCGAAGGCGGCAUCCUGGACCGGCACUGACACUGAGGAGCGAAAGCCAGGGGAGCAAACGGG
rnacentral:rRNA from 1 species